rnacentral:lncRNA from 1 species
UUUUCAAAUGCAAUCAAGGCUUCCUAUAUACGGGCGGAAAGGCGGCUUCCUCCGCUGAGAAAGCUGAAGGUCCUUACCUGCGGCGUACGGACUGCUCUGGUGGUCCCUGAGGGUGCCCAGGCUGCAGGAUCCCGGCGUGAGGGAAGGGCAGCCGGACGUGGCCCCAAAAGUGGUCCUUAUCGGGUUAUACUGGAAGCCACUGGCCUGGCUGCAGGAACUGAAGUCAGCAUAGGCUGAAGCCAGGCUCGAGGUGUCCAUCCCAGCCAUACAGGACUCGUAGGCAGAGGAAUUGAGGGUUCUCACAACCAAUUGAAAGAGAAUAAAACAUUCUCUUGCUUCAUAACCAAAGUGCUGCUCACACUUACAGCAACCUUUGGAAGGGGAAUCCUGGCUAUUGAUGUCCCUGGAAAGAGAGUGGUAGAAGAAAAGAAAUUGAAGACAUGGAAGAAAGAUGAAAACGCUGGCUACUAAAUACCUAUGUGUGGUUACUGAGUGUGGUAUACUUGGACACCGAGCUCCCCCACCCAUCAGAUGUCACAAAGAGUCCUCUUACUCUUGGAUAAUUUCAAAUCAAACUGACCUCCCCAGACACCAGAGCCAGAAACAGGAAAAGGCUACAAUUAACUAACUGAAGCACAAUGUGAAGUUAAUCAAUAAUGGAACGAUUAUGACGAAGAUGCCAUACAUUAACUCUACCUAGACAUGAGUGCUGCUUUCAGAGCAUGAACAUUCUUUCAAAUUCCAGAUACCACUUUUUCCCUUGUGAGGCUGCAUUUUAAUUUUCCACUGUCUCCUCUAUUCUCAUUUGCAAUCCUCUGAAUCUCACUGUAAACUGUGACUAGAUUCCUCCUCCCCCAUUUGUGGUGUGUGAUGUUGGAAUCCCUGCGUUGCUCUUCUGAGAAACAGAGAAGACUUCCAUUUGGAGACUGAGCUGACAAGGAUUGAAUUCUUUAUUUAUUUUAUUUUAUUUAUUUAUUUUUU